CGCUGGCGGCGGCGUUUCCUGGUGACUGAGCCCCAUCGCGGAGGCUAUGAGCAGCCGGGAGGUCCUGGGCCAGGCGGCCCGUCUGGCCUCCUCCGGUCUGCUCCUGCAGGUGUUGUUUCGAGUGAUCACCUUUGUCUUGAAUGCAUUUAUUCUUCGCUUCCUAUCCAAGGAAAUCGUUGGCGUAGUGAAUGUCAGGCUAACACUGCUUUACUCGACCACCAUCUUCCUGGCCAGAGAGGCUUUCCGCAGAGCAUGUCUGAGUGGAGGUACCCAGCGGCACUGGAGCCAGACCCUCAAUCUCUUGUGGUUAACAGUCCCUUUGGGUGUGUUUUGGUCCUUGUUCCUGGGCUGGGUCUGGUUGCAGUUGCUCGAAGUGCCUGAUCCUAAUGUUGUCCCCCAUUAUGGAACUGGAGUGGCGGCGUUUGGUCUCUCAGCAGUGGUGGAACUUCUGGGAGAGCCCCUCUGGGUCUUGGCACAAGCACAUAUGUUUGUCAGGCUCAAGGUGAUUGCUGAGAGCCUGUCAGUAAUCCUCAAGAGCAUCCUGACAGCUCUUCUCGUGCUGUGGUUGCCUCACUGGGGACUGUAUAUUUUCUCUUUGGCCCAGCUUUUCUUUACUGCAGUGCUGGUGCUCUGCUAUGUUAUUUAUUUCACAAAGUUACUGGGUUCCCCAAAAUCAUCCAAAUGCCAAGUUCUUCCUGUCUCCAGAAUGACAGAUCUCUUACCCAGCAUUACGAGAAGUAGAGCUUUUGUAAAUUGGGAAGAGGCUAAAUUGACUUGGAGUUUUUUCAAACAGUCUUUCUUGAAACAGAUUUUGACAGAAGGAGAGCGAUAUGUGAUGACAUUUUUGAACGUGUUAAAUUUUGGCGAUCAGGGGGUGUAUGAUAUAGUGAAUAAUCUUGGCUCCCUUGUGGCCAGAUUAAUUUUCCAGCCAAUAGAGGAGAGUUUCUACAUAUUCUUUGCUAAGGUGCUGGAGAGAGAAAAGGAUGCCACACUUCAGAAGCAGGAGGAUGUUGCUGUGGCUGCCGCGGUUUUGGAGUCCCUACUGAAACUGGCCCUGCUGACCGGCCUGACCAUCACUGUUUUCGGCUUUGCCUAUUCUCAACUGGCUUUGGACAUCUAUGGAGGGGCCAUGCUUAGCUCAGGAUCAGGUCCUGUUCUGCUGCGUGCCUAUUGUCUCUACGUCCUCCUGCUUGCGAUCAAUGGAGUGACUGAGUGUUUCACUUUUGCUGCCAUGAGCAAAGAGGAGGUCGACAGGUACAACUUCACAAUGCUGGCCCUGUCAUCUUCAUUCCUGGGGUUAUCCUAUCUCCUGACCCAUUGGUGUGGCAGUGUGGGCUUCAUCUUGGCCAACUGCUUCAACAUGGGCAUUCGGAUCACACAGAGCCUCCGCUUCAUCCACCGCUACUACCAAAAGAGCCCCCACAGGCCACUGGCCAGCCUCUACCUGUCACCAGUCCUCCUCGGGGCAUUCGCCCUCAGUGGUGGCAUUACUGCUGUUUCAGAGGUGUUCCUCUGCUGUGAGCAGGGCUGGCCAGCCAGGCUGGCACACAUCACUGUGGGGGCCCUCUGUUUGGGAGCAACUCUCAGGACAGUGUUCCUCACAGAGACCAAGCUGAUUCACUUCCUCAGGACUCAGUUAGCUGUGUCCAGACUCGCUGACAAAACAACAUGACCUCACAGAUGCACUGGCACCUGUGGCACCUGGACCAACUACUAGGUGGUUUUGUGGGUGGAACACGUUUUCUCUGCAGAAGAGCCCAGCUAAGUGUUCUACUGUGGAGUGAGCCCAGCCCAGGCAGGCCAACACACAGCUUCCAAGAGCAGGUACAAGCCAGUUCUUGACCUUUGGCCUGGCCACCUGAAAGAGGGGGACUUUGAAGGACACUGUGAUCCAAUGUGAACCACUUUGCUUCCUGAAAGGAACACUACGUUGCAGUUGGCUGUAACUUCUCAUGUGGAGGUUGCACACAUGACAACUAAAGUUGAAUAGAGGUAUAUUUUUUUCCCUCAGAAUGAAAUAGGAUAGAUUUUUUAUGGCAGCUGUCACUGACUCACAGCCCUCCCACUGACCCAUCACUUCCAGCACUGGUCAUUACACCUGAAUUCCAACCUGGGACAAGACUGGCAGGCUUGUGGGUCUGGUCCUCCAGGUGGUGAUGUGAGCCUAGGCUAAGGUUUACAUCUCUGCCCUGCACCCAGCAGGUAAGAUCAUCAGGCGUUGUUCUGAGGCAGCAAAGCUGUUUGCUUCCUUCAUUAAUGUAUUUACUUAAUGUCAUUAAUGUAUUAGUUAAUUGAAUAUGAUUGGCCUUUGGAGCUGCAUGCACAAACUAUAUCUUGGAUGGUAAUAGUCAUUAUCUGGCCUCAACAUCCCCAAACUUCCUAUGUUUAUACCCAUAGAGCCAGGCAACUUAAAUCAGAGACCGUUGUUUGAAAUGCACAUAUUUAAAUCCACUGGCCCAGAGCCAUUGCCAAGAAGCCAAAGAUAAAGAUCCACCAGCACACCAAGACUAGGAUCCAGUCACCUGGACACCUCUUUAUCUAUCCAAAGAGAGAAUGGUUUGUAUUAGCUCGGAGGAAAGCAGCUAAAUGCAAGGUAUCACUGAGCAAUCAGGCCCUCCAGAAGCACGGCUUGGUCAUGUUUUGCAAAGCAGGGUCAGCCUAGCUCAGAAGAACUGAUUGCCCCAUGGGGUAGGGUGGGUGGCACACACAGAAGGCAGCCCUUCUUCCCAUGUACUUUUUCUCUUUUUUUUUUUGUCUCCAGCCCUCACAAGUUCCUUCUCUACUGCCACUGACCACCCUUCCCUCCCCUAGAACCCUGUCACCCACCCCCUGCCCUCUUGACCCCGAGCUCAAAGUGUGGUCCUUGGACGACCUGCAUCAGAAUCGCCUGGAUUAGUUAGAAAUGUUGGUUUCCCAGACCCAUUCCAGACCCUUGGCAUCUGCAUUUCUGGGGCAGGCCUCUGGGACCAGUUUCUUCUGCAAACCAAGGUUGGCACACCCCGUCGUCCUCACCGGCUGCAGGGCCCAGGGCCAGUCGUGUUCAUGUUCCCAGUUUCUGUUGCGGCUGUGGGAAGAGAGCCUCCAUUGCCUGAGCAGCAUUGCUGGCUCCCCAGCUCCUCAGGAGCAAGAGCAUCACAGCUCCUACUCUGCCCUCCAGCCUGGAGAGGCUCUGUGUCUGAUGGUGAGGGCUCGUGUUCAUCUCAUCCCCAUGCACCCCACUGGGCACUGCUAUUAGCACGGGGCUGCUGCCAGCCCCUCUUGUAAGAUGGCCAGCUGGGAUGGCCGCCUAGGGCUCCAUCCUGUGGCCUGCUUCCCCGUUUAUAGAAAGAGGAGUUCCGAUGACCAGGGCUUUGGGCAGUGGGUGUUUUCCCAUUACUAACACCUGCCUCCUGGGCUCCAGCACUUGGGCAGCGGGCCCUUUGCAGUCCACAGCCUCUGCCUCCGCCCCUGCUCCCUGGGGCACAGCUGGGCCUGACCACUGCCUCUGGGGCUUUCCCCCCACCAGCCCCCUAGAGCCACACCUGUGCCUCGGAUUGCUUGCAUACAUGGGACCUGAUCCAUGUGACCCAAGAAGGAUUUUGCAGGGGAAAUCACACCUUGGGCUACAAUUACCACUUAAAGUAUAGUGAGGCUAGUUCUUCAUGGAAACAAGUCUCUAAAACACAUAGGUUUAUGAAAUGAAGAAAGCUUUGGUGGUGAGAAUAACAGCAUUUCUUCUUUCUGUGAUUCUCUGGCCACACAUAUGUGUUGGUGGCCAGGUUGGCCUGUCAGGUCCCUCCAUGAGAAGAUAUGCUGAAUCACUGCUUCCUCAGCAGUGACUCCUAGCUCUGGUGGUGCGGUAUAUGCUGUCCCAGGCCCUGCCACUUACCAACCUAAUGCAGCAGGACACCGACUUGAUUUUGUCUUUUUAAAAAAUUUUUAAAUUAAAAAAAAAUUUUUUUGGCCGUGCCAUCAGCAUGCAGA